GGCUCGCCUGAGUGCCGGGGCCUCACAACACGCCGUGUGUCGUCUCAUGGUGUGGCGUCACGUAGUUCCUGUGCUACCCACUGCAGCUGUGCCAGGCAGCCGAGGACACUGCUGUGCAGAUCAGGACAGCUGAACUUUCCAUUUACUCACCCUUCCAGGAAGGAUUACCCUGUUAAUCAGGAAGCGCCUGCCAAAACAAAGAAAGAGAUAAACCACAACCUUUUUGGAGAUGUGCAAAAUAGGAAGGAUUCCUUCCUCUUGCUUUCUGUGUCAACACUUCUGUAGCUUUCAACAUUUUGAUAUAUCCUGCAUUAUUAAAAUGCGUUAUUCAGAUGAGUCACUCAGCAACUGCAGGUGUAAGCUUAAGGUGGUACAAGGGACAACAAU